AGUGAACGCUGGCGGCAGGCCUAAUACAUGCAAGUCGAACGGCAGCACAGCAGAGCUUGCUCUGUGGGGUGGCGAGUGGCGGACGGGUGAGGAAUACAUGGGAAUCUGCCCAGUCGUGGGGGAUAACGUAGGGAAACUUACGCUAAUACCGCAUGCGCCCUUCGGGGGAAAGCCGGGGACCUUCGGGCCUGGCGCGAUUGGAUGAGCCCAUGUCGGAUUAGCUAGUUGGCGGGGUAAUGGCCCACCAAGGCGACGAUCCGUAGCUGGUCUGAGAGGAUGAUCAGCCACACUGGAACUGAGACACGGUCCAGACUCCUACGGGAGGCAGCAGUAGGGAAUAUUGGACAAUGGGCGCAAGCCUGAUCCAGCCAUGCCGCGUGAGUGAAGAAGGCCCUCGGGUUGUAAAGCUCUUUUGUCCGGAAAGAAAAGCGCCGGGUUAAUACCCCGGUGUCCUGACGGUACCGGAAGAAUAAGCACCGGCUAACUUCGUG
rnacentral:rRNA from 1 species